CCCCACACCCCAUUGUAAUUGCCUGCAUUUAUCUCUCUUCUUUCAGUGCAGAUGGGCGUUUUGAGGGAACAUCUACAAAAACUGUGGUAAAAUAUGAUGGCACCAUUGCUUGGACUCCACCAGCAAACUACAAAAGUUCUUGUACUAUUGAUGUAACAUUCUUUCCCUUUGACCUUCAAAAUUGCUCAAUGAAAUUUGGUUCCUGGACUUACGAUGGCUCACAGGUUGAUCUAAUUAUUGAAGAUUAUGAUGUUGACAAAAGAGAUUUUUUUGAUAAUGGAGAAUGGGAAAUAGUGACUGCGACAGGGAGCAAAGGCAAUAGGACUGAUGGAUGCUGCUGGUAUCCUUUUGUUACAUAUUCAUUUAUAAUUAGACGUUUGCCACUUUUUUACACAUUGUUUCUAAUUAUUCCUUGUAUUGGGCUUUCAUUUUUAACUGUCCUUGUCUUCUAUCUUCCUUCAAAUGAAGGUGAAAAAAUUUCACUCUGCACUUCAGUACUGGUAUCUUUGACUGUUUUUCUUCUGGUUAUUGAAGAAAUUAUUCCAUCAUCUUCUAAAGUUAUCCCGCUCAUAGGAGAGUACUUGGUGUUUACUAUGAUCUUUGUGACCUUAUCCAUUGUGAUCACUGUCUUUGCUAUCAAUAUCCACCACCGCUCCUCGUCCACACACAAUGCCAUGGCACCUUGGGUUCGCAGGAUAUUUCUGCACAAGCUGCCCAAGCUGCUUUGCAUGAGAAGCCAUGUUGAUAGGUACUUUGCUCAGAAGGAGGAAACAGCAAAUACGAAUGUAUCAGAAUCAUCCAGGAACACCUUGGAAGCAGCUCUGGAUUCCAUCCGCUAUAUUACGAGGCACGUUAUGAAGGAGAAUGAAGUUCGCGAGGUGGGUGUGUUAGUCCUGCUACACUGAUUUUAUACAAGUGGAAAUUAGAAAACCAAGUGCCUUACUGUGCAGUUACAUAUUAAAGAUGUGCUACAGAUUCUCAGCUUUUGUACUUUGCUGAAAGUUGUAUAGUUGUUUCCAGUGGAAAAAAGUGCAAAUAUGGUACAAUACUGAGAAUAUUUGGCUGAUACAGUACAGUAUUUGGGGUCCUUAAAAGUCUUUUGCUUUCUUCUACAAGUUCUUGUUACUAGUUCCAUGUUGUAAGACGCUUGUCUGUGACA